CCUUCGGGGACCAGCCGUCUAAGGUGGGACAGAUGAUUAGGGUGAAGUCGUAACAAGGGUAGCCGUAGGAGAACCUGCGGCUGGAUCACCUCCUUU
rnacentral:rRNA from 1 species